rnacentral:rRNA from 1 species
UACGUAGGGGGCGAGCGUUGUCCGGAAUCAUUGGGCGUAAAGCGCGUGUAGGCGGCCCGAUAAGUCCGCUGUGAAAGUCCAGGGCUCAACCCUGGGAUGCCGGUGGAUACUGUCGGGCUCGAGUCCGGAAGAGGCGAGUGGAAUUCCUGGUGUAGCGGUGAAAUGCGCAGAUAUCAGGAGGAACACCAAUGGCGAAGGCAGCUCGCUGGGACGUGACUGACGCUGAGACGCGAAAGCAUGGGGAGCGAACAGG